CGGGGAGUGGCGCAGCGGUAGCGCACCUGCUUUGGGAGCAGGAGGUCGGGGGUUCGAAUCCCCCUUCCCCGA
rnacentral:tRNA from 2 species